UUUUUUUUUUUUCCCCCCUUUAAAACAAGAAAGAGAAAAAGAAAGCUCUGUCUUUACCCAGUUUAGGAGCACCUCCUGAAAAAGGAACGGCACUAGCCAGAGCCAAGCUUCUCAGCCUUGACAUAUUCAUGGCAAGCUAAGCUUUUUUUCAAGGAAAUAUGGAUUUUUCUUUCUUUAGAAGAGCUAAAGGACUUCCAAAGAAGUACUUUCGACUCCAGCUACUUCUCAAUAUUGCUCAAAACUCACCAUUUGCUGACCCACUCUUCCGUCUCCCUCAGAAGGUCCGAGGCACCACCCCACCACUGAUCCAGCAAGAGAGAAUAUGCAUCACGCUCUGAGCACAGUCCUGGACACGUUUAUACACGGCAACUAUCAUUACCAUUAGGGAGCAAAAAUGAGCCCCAUGUAACAGCCUAAAAUUACUUAAGAGCUUGAUUUAGAGCCUGCAGUCAAACUCUGAUUAAGAAAUACACAUCCACUGAUAAGUUAAAAGCCUCCACUGGUUGACGGAGUGGGUUAAAAAAUAAUUUUCAAUCCUUUCGGGGGAUUUACAAAAUAAGAUGAUGUUUAUCAACCCCUGUUUUCGAGCCCACUGUCUUUCAUCACAGUAUGAAUGUUUUAUAAGUCACCCUAACUGCUCUGUAAAGUCUGAACUGACUGGUUCCCUCUGGGCUGCGGUCUCGGGCUCAUCUUCAAGUAGGACAGCUCAGUGAUAAGGGAGCUUAUUGCCCCAUGUGGGCCCACACAAACCCGCCACCAUGCUGCAGUUCCUGGGAAAUACUCUUGCGAAGAACGUUUUCACGGGAGCAUUAGUAUUUGACCAAGAGAACAGUCACUCCUAGCACCAACCUCCCCAGGAACACGUAAUAAUGCUCCUUCAAUUUGUCCUGUGGUUUAUACGUUUUCAAGCCCUCUUAAAUUCCUCUCUCGUUUGACCACCACCAAUCUUGUCUUGUUAAGUAGACAGAAUAGGAACCAUAAUUCAGACUUUACAGCUUUAAAAAGAUUCAUCCAACGUCAGAGUGACCACUGUGAGUCAUUCCUUCCCAAGGUCCCCAGGUGGUUAGCAGCAAAUCAGGAAGCAGCACCAGGUCUCCAGUUUCUAUUCCAGUGUUCUUUUUCUCUAUGAAGAUAUCACUUCCCAAAAGAGACUCAUCUUUUCAAACUGUUCAAAAAUCACAUUUCAUCUUCUAAAUAAGAAAAAAACUGAGUAUACCAAAAAAAAAAAAAAAAAACCCAAAAGUAUUUCAUGCUCACACCUAAAAAGCAGAGUUAUAAAUAACACCAAAGACUAGGUUGUUCCACAAAAUCAAGAACCUUGAUGCAAGACAUCAAGUCUUAAAAUUUGAAAAAGAAUGCAACUCCCUCUAAACCAUCCUCCACCACGUACACAAUACUACUACCCACAAGUCUGACCACAUGGCUCAAGACGCUAUUUGUGAAAAGAAUAAAGGAAACAGUUGUCAACAUCUAGGAGCUCCUCAUGAGUUAGAAGAGUCAGUCUCAAUGCCGACUUAGAAGAGUCAGUCUCAAUGCAGACUUAGAAGAGUUAGUUUCAAUGCAGAGUUCAAGUCAAGAUCAGCGUGGUAAUGCAAACAGUGAUACUGGCCAUGGUAUUGCUGCAUUACGACCCAAUCAAAGUGCACAAAUCUACCCAAAACUAAAAAUGGGGGUUUCAUCCCCAUCACUAGUGUUGCUUAUGCGAUAGGUCCGGGCCAUCUGGUCUACCCUCUCCCAUCACGGUGGAGCCCUUUGAGCGACAGUCCUAUCAUGAGGGAAAAUAAGGGAAUUUUGGCCCACCCUUUAAACCUAACUUACGGACCUAAGUGACAUUUUACAAAGAACAUUUUGCUUCAAAUCAAAUGUUCCAAUUUGUGGAACCAAGGCAGUCUGGGCAGAAGGAGACUGAGGACAGAAGUGGACAGGUCCAGAAUACAAGGCAGGGAUGGAGAUUCCCGGACAUUCCAGUCGGAGGGAGGAUGACCCGGGAGGGUGGGUUCAGGAGGGUGAGCUUACUUAAGCCAUGGCCCUGGGUAGACCCCAGAGGACCCCACCCACCCUUCCUCCCUGGGGCCAUUCCCUCACCUGCACAGGUCUACCUACUCACUGCCAUCCGUGGCUCAGCCCCCCUCAUCAAGCCUGUGCCAGAUACCACUGUCUUGCUAGUACGACCCUGGGCCUCACCACAUAGAGCCUGCAGCCUUACAUCCUGCUGCCCAGACUAUAUGGCCUGGCUUCCUGGUUCUCUCUCUUAAAUGGACCUUUAUCUGCUCAGGCCUUGAAUUCCAUGACCUGGAGCCCCGUACACCUGCGACUCCUUUGGCUACACCUACCUACACUUCUCCAAGCCCUUGCCUUCAACACCUAGCUACUGAACUCCUCCCUCUCUGAUAAACUUCCACUCCUGGCUCCUCUUGGGAAGCCACAAAGGAUAAGGAAGCCAGAGGCUGCACCUUGGCAAGAAGGGCAGGAAGGUGACAGCUGCCAAAGCCAUUCACCCUCCUCCUAGUUCAAAUUGCAGGAGGCUGCCACCUCCUCCUCCUCUUCCUUCUCCUCCACUCCCCAGCGACUCCAUGCAACUCAACAACUUGAAAAACCAAUGCCUGGCUGUAGUAGCCGGCUUCUCAUCAGAGGUCAGCGUCCCUCAGGGUGAAGAGCAUCUGCAAGGUUUGGUGCCAAAUGUUAAAGACCCCAUGACAGUGUGCACCGAAACUGGGCUAAAGUGGUUAAGUUGCUGGAUAUAGUGUGUAAGCUCACCCCUCCGCCGCUUCGUUUUAUAUUCACUUUACAUAUGAAUAUACACACACACUUCAUUUUAUAUUCACUUUACAUAUGAAUAUACACACACAUGCAUACAUACACAUAUAUAUACACACGCAUAUAACACAUACACAGAAAUAUACACACACAUAUUUCUCUUUUAAAACAAAACAAAAUAGAGCAGUUUAAAGAGAAAACAACACAGAAAGUCAACACACACACACACACACACACCAUCACCCCCAACCGCUGCUAGUGAGAUUUUCUCCCAAAAAGUUUCUGGAUGACUGUCACUUGCUACCUAACCCUUAACUACUGGCUGGGUCUGGGGACUCUACCCCAGUUGCUCCACAGGGCUGUGUCCCUGUUGCCUUUCGUUUCCUAAAGACAAAAGGGGGAUGUAAACAUGAACUAGACCAGAAGCAGGGGACCGCCAAGGAGAACAAUGUAAUCUAAAGUGGCACCGAAAUGCAUCUCCAGCAUUGUCAUCUUAUGAGCGGCCCAUUUCACUCCAGACCCUCACGGGUCCAGAGGAACCUGAAUCCUGGAACUUGGCGUCCCGAAAUAAGUGGUUUCUCUCUGAAAGUCAAAUGCAGAGCACAAAGCAACCUGCCCAAGCGUCUCAGGAAGGCCUGUUACAUAAGUGUGUCGGCACUGCAGUCCCCAACUCCACUCACGCUCAUCCCCCCCACCCCCACACACACACCCCGGGGAGGGCAGAGGUGGGGCAGAGAGGAAAACUGGACAGAGGCAAGGCAGGGCAGAAUCAGAGUGUUCACUCUUAACAUUCAAAUUCCCGAGUCACAGGUGAAACCCCACCGCUGUCAUUGUUUUACACACUGUCUCCACUCACACACACAUACACACACACACAAGAUGCUUUUAAAAAGUUGCAUUAGCUUCCCUGUUUAAAACCCUUCCUUUUGUUGAGCGCCUUGAGAUAAAAGCUGUGUUUGACCCUCUGGCCAGUCUUCAAAUCCCGGCACUUGCCUGAGCUGGGACCAGAGCAGACUUCCACCCGCCCGACCGUGGAAGGCACGGGCCCUGCCGGCAGAGCAGGGGUUAAUGGAAGCUGACCGCAGCACAGUUGUUAAGGUAAUCAAUACCACUGAGAUACUAAAGCAGCAUAAGCCACAAUAUUGAUUGCCAAGCAGAUGAUAAAACUGUUUAUUAUGAUAAUUGCAGGGUCCCUGCAAGAUGCUCCCAGUGCUUCCUAAAGCUGUUUACAAAACUAAUAAAAGAUUUGCCAUUUCAAGGUCUUCCAUUAUAACCAGCCUCCCUCCCCCAAACUCCCACCCGUGGCCCACCACCAAAAAGUGGGCCUCUCCCCCCCUCCCGGGGGGGGGCGGCUACGAGCCCCAGGGACCACAUCAGAACCCGUCCUGGGUGUGUCCCUGCCCUCAGGGGUCUCAGGGGCCUCAGAGGAAGGGGCUCUCCACCUCCAGCCUCGCCCUGCCCCCACCUGCAGGAAAAGGAGGCCGGAAGCACAGCCGACUAGACACUCGGGGCGUUAAGAUUUCCUCCUCAGAGCCUGCCAUGUGAUAAUGAUGGGGUUUUAUUGACGGAGGGGGCUGCUCAGGGCUACUUGAGCUAACAUCCAUUUGUUAUAACACAUUUAAGAAACCACAUCACCUUGGUUUGUAAUUAAAACUUCUCUGGAGAACUUGGUGGCCGUGGAACUAACUCAACACAGGCUGAUGCUGGAAUGCAUUCUGCCGACAAACCUCAGCACUGACUUUGCCUGCCAUGCGGGGCUCGUGUCUCCAACUCUACCGUGCCCGACGCAACAGCUUCGUUUCACUACCCGUUGCGUUAACUCCCUCUUGGUUACAGAUACAGCCAUCUGCCCUGAGACCCAAGUCUUUGGAUUAAUGGCACUGGGGGGGAUAUGCGGUGAUAUUAUUGUCACAGGCUGUGAUCUGACUUCCAAGGUGAACUGGAUGACGGUGGAAAUGUUUCUCAAGAGAAGUAGGCAUCUCACAGGUAGCUCAUCAAACUGCUGCAGGGAAAACUCACUGGGUCCUAAGAAUAAGUACGGUAGCUUCAGGACACAAAGCCUGCUAAUAUACCAAGGGUGAAUUUUCAUGGUAUGCAAGAAGGCGAAAAAGGACCCAUGUUUUGAGAAGAAAUCAGAAGCCAUUACACCUGUGAUGCGAAGGCAAAGCCCUCCCACCCCCACUCGACCCUCAACAGCACAGGCUCAGUCCACAGUGACCAGCAGGAUGUUACCAAUAACAGAAUUCGACUGGGCUUGGCUUUGAACAAAACCACAGUCACACCUUAGGAGCCCUCCUCCUCUGUGAGUUGAUGGGCCAAAGAAAGAUGAUUUGGAGGCAGCUUCUUCCUUUUCAACCAAAGCACGGAGAAAUUUUAACCCACGCUCCUAUCUUGACCUUGCACCAUGACCUCUGCUUAGGCACUGAAGCCCCGAGUCCUCUCCCGUGUCAGCAGUACCCAGCGGCCCUAGCAGCGCACUGCCCAUGGAGCCUGCCUGUGCGUACACAUGCACGGCCUGGUUCCGUGAACCAGUUCAGACACGCUGCUCCUUUGUAGACACCUGUCUGCUCCGCCUACUCACAAUGACACAGAAAUGAGGAGACUGGAGCCAGUUUUGUGCAGAGUAUAAUCCCCUUGCCAAAGACCUUCCCAUGAACUCACAGAUACUGCAGCAUGGCUGGAAGGAAUGCACCGAGAUUAGUUUAACCCGGUUACCCACUCUUCCAGGAGCUACUUGGCAACCAGGAAGGCCAGGAGGAAAUCCAAGGCUUCGCUAUGACUGCAUUUCAUGGACAACCCACUCCUAGGCAAAGCGGCAGAGGACAGUCAUCGACCACUCAACUCCCAGCCGGAUGCCCGGCUCUCGGCUCCAUGUGCCCAUGGGGCCCCGGUUCACACACACAUCCCUGGACUUGAUACCAGGAGAAAGUUGAAUAUGCAGUGUGACGAAUUCUGCCCUUACCUUUUAACCUCACUCAUACAUAGGAGUUGUGCUCUCAAACAAUAACUCCGACAAAAAAAAAUAUACCCUCGGAACGAUAAGGUCCACACUUGGAAACCCGCCCACGAUGGCCAGCCAAGCCCGCCUAAGUGCUAAGAACCAUUUAGGAGCAUUGUAAACCAUUAGGGCCAUUAGCUCUAAUUUGACCUCAACAAAAUAAAUCAACCCACUAGGAACAAAUUUAGAAGCUUUCCAAAGUCAAGUUCUCAAACCCUGAAAGGCUCACAAGCACAAUCCAGGGCAGGGAAUGAAUGGCCAGCCUCUGAGCGCCCUCCCCACGCCCCCCUUCCCUGUACUUCACUAGUGAGAGUGUGUGUACCUGGGACCAGGCCUCUGGAUUCUUCUGAACUCACGGGCUCAGGAAGCUGUGGCCAUGGCUGUGCAAGGGAUUCACUCUUUUCCUUCCUCUGAGUUCACAUCCCAACACGAAUUUUCAUCUUUCAAAGCCGGUGGACGUUUAGAUGUAUUUUCAAGAUAUUCGGAUGGGCUUUCAACUGCGCCGAUUCACAGCACCAGGUCAGAGUUCGCCCAGGCUUUCUAUCUUUCAAUAGGCAGGUAUCAUGUAUAUUAAGCACUGUGAUCCCCCAUAUUAACACAUGUGUCAACACAGUAAAUAAUUUCUCCAACAAACCUUAUAACCAUCAGCACACACUCUGCAUUUAAAUUGCAAAGUCAUCCUAAUUUUUCAUCGUUCUUCUUCCCUGAUGAGUACUGGCUGCAUUUUUUAAAUACUGAUGGCUCUGCCCUAAUGGAGAAACAAUGAAAUAAACUAUGGCACCACCAAAUGCCACCAGGCAAUGGGAGAAGAGGGUUAUUUUUAACUAGGGAGGCAGGCGGAC
rnacentral:lncRNA from 1 species